rnacentral:rRNA from 1 species
UACGAAGGGGGCUAGCGUUGUUCGGAAUUACUGGGCGUAAAGCGCACGUAGGCGGAUAUUUAAGUCAGGGGUGAAAUCCCGGGGCUCAACCCCGGAACGGCCUUUGAUACUGGGUAUCUUGAGUGUGGUAGAGGUGAGUGGAAUUGCGAGUGUAGAGGUGAAAUUCGUAGAGAUCGGCAGGAACACCAGUGGCGAAGGCGGCUCACUGGCCCGAUACUGACGCUGAGGUGCGAAAGCGUGGGGAGCAAACAGG